GAUGAACGCUGGCGGCGUGCCUAAUACAUGCAAGUCGAGCGAACAGACGAGGAGCUUGCUCCUCUGACGUUAGCGGCGGACGGGUGAGUAACCCGUGGAUAACCUACCUAUAAGACUGGGAUAACUUCGGGAAACCGGAGCUAAUACCGGAUAAUAUAUUGAACCGCAUGGUUCAAUAGUGAAAGACGGUUUUGCUGUCACUUAUAGAUGGAUCCGCGCCGCAUUAGUUAGUUGGUAAGGUAACGGCUUACCAAGGCAACUAUGCGUAGCCGACCUGAGAGGGUGAUCGGCCACACUGGAACUGAGACACGGCCCAGACUCCUACGGGAGGCAGCAGUAGGGAAUCUUCCGCAAUGGGCGAAAGCCUGACGGAGCAACGCCGCGUGAGUGAUGAAGGUCUUCGGAUCGUAAAACUCUGUUAUUAGGGAAGAACAAAUGUGUAAGUAACUAUGCACGUCUUGACGAUACCUAAUCAGAAAGCCACGGCUAACUACGUG
rnacentral:rRNA from 1 species